CGGCCAACCUCGACCGGGCUAGACGUUGUCGCGGACGCAAGGAUCAUCGGUUGUGCAAUCGACUGAGGUCGCAAAUCUUCGACGCGUGUCACAAGAAGGUGAAUCCGACGAUGUACUACAAGGCUUGCCUGCAGGACAUGUGCGAGUGUCCCAGCGAAAACUGCUACUGCGAGUCGUUUACGGCGUACGCGCACGAGUGCAAGAGACUGGGCAUCCAGCUGCCCCAUUGGCGGAAAGCGACCAGAUGUCGAACCGGUUGGGACCAGGCUGCGCGCUCGUUGUCGCUCGCGCCGCUCGCGCCGCGUUUGCCUUGACCCCCACCGCCGUCGGAGCUUCGUCGAUAACGUCUCGAAUCGCCGAAUCACCGUCGAAUACCCGAAUACGCGAACAGCCGAUCGAACGCGACCUACCGUUCGGCGAAUUAUCUGCUAGUCACCGUUUCUCCAGAAAACGCACGUCGCGCGCGUCGAUCGACCGAGUUUCGUUCGCGAACCUCCGACUGUCGACGAUUAAGCGUGCCUGUCCGGAGACGACCCCGUUUUUUUCUUCCCUUUUCUCCUAGCGCGAACCUUUUCGAGCAAAGGACGAUUCCGAAGCACCGUGCAGUAUUUCGGCCGAUGAGCAGGCUCGCGGCAUACCGUCUACGUCCCCGGGGUGACCUCGCGCCAACGCGUAUCUCUUUUCACCCCUGAUACACCCCCGCCGACCUACGCGUAGAUUUAAGCCGACCCGACGACCACUUUCUCCGUUCUCCUCUUCCAAUUUUUUCUCUUCUCGCCUCUGACCUAUACUCUCCCGCGUCCCCCGAUCUUCUCUCUCCUUCGUCGCCGUUACUCGACCCUUUUCUCACUUCGAUUUAUCUUAUCUAAUAAUAUAAAAUUGUACAUAGCCCGAGCAUAGACGCGUGCGUAUGCAUACGCGCGUACGCGUACGUAUAAGUAUACGGACAAAACCGACGUCGUUCCUCGAGAACGAUCGCGAAUAUACCGCAAAUAGUCCAAAGCCUUAGCUAAUUCGUAUCCGACCACGUUAGCGUAGAGAUAUUUCGGCUCCCGUCGAACAACGACGAAAUAAUAAAUCAAUUAUAUUCGUAAAAUU